rnacentral:rRNA from 1 species
GUGACCUGCGGAAGGAUCAUUACUGAGUGAGGGCCCUCUGGGUCCAACCUCCCACCCGUGUUUAUUGUACCUUGUUGCUUCGGUGCGCCCGCCUCACGGCCGCCGGGGGGCUUCUGCCCCCGGGUCCGCGCGCACCGGAGACACUAUUGAACUCUGUCUGAAGAUUGCAGUCUGAGCAUAAACUAAAUAAGUUAAAACUUUCAACAACGGAUCUCUUGGUUCCGGCAUCGAUGAAGAACGCAGCGAAAUGCGAUAACUAAUGUGAAUUGCAGAAUUCAGUGAAUCAUCGAGUCUUUGAACGCACAUUGCGCCCCCUGGUAUUCCGGGGGGCAUGCCUGUCCGAGCGUCAUUGCUGCCCUCAAGCACGGCUUGUGUGUUGGGCUCCGUCCCCCCGGGGACGGGUCCGAAAGGCAGCGGCGGCACCGAGUCCGGUCCUCGAGCGUAUGGGGCUUUGUCACCCGCUCUGUAGGCCCGGCCGGCGCCAGCCGACAACCAAUCAUCCUUUUUUCAGGUUGACCUCGGAUCAGGUAGGGAUACCCGCUGAACUUAAGCAUAUCAAUAAGCGGAGGAAAAGAAACCAACAGGGAUUACCUCAGUAACGGCGAGUGAAGCGGUAAGAGCUCAAAUUUGAAAGCUGGCUCCUUCGGGGUCCGCAUUGUAAUUUGCAGAGGAUGUUUCGGGAGCAGCCCCCAUCUAAGUGUCCUGGAACGGACCGUCAUAGAGGGUGAGA